GGUAUGCCAAUAUGGUCAAAGAUUGAAUCAGGAAAAGUUCCCAAGUAUCCUGAGCUGGUCCAGAUUCUUGAAAACACCAUGAAACUAAGUUACAGACAGAUCUAAUGUUAUGUACUAAGGACAGAACAAACCGACUGUUCUCCUUUGUACGUGUAUGAACCUGAUGUCUUUCGUUGCCUGCAGUUUUAUGCCUUUACGAAGCUUCUCACUUCCCACCAAUUCAUUUCAAGAGACAGAUGUUUGCAUUUGUGAUCCCUAAUAAACACAGACUUAAUUUGAACUCUUUGCUAUAUGGAAGUGGGAAUCUUCUACAACAGGCCAACCUCCAAUCCAGUGUAUGACUAUAUGAAGGCCGGGGUGGAAAGCUUCACGGGGCAAGCCACGGCUGGAUGUGCAUCUGUUUUUUGACGGGAAACGGAUGCGUCCACCAACGGAGGAUAAACCUGCUAUACACAACAGAAUACAUCAGAUUGAAGUAUAUUUAAUAAUCGUAUUAUAUUCUAUGAUACAUGUUAUUUUUACCUCUCUCCAAUGUAUUUCUUGAAAUAUUUUUUCUUUGUGAAAUUGUAUAGCUAUUGGAUGUGUGAACUUUUGAUGGUAUUGAGUCUACAUGUAGUUCUAUUACCUAAGUUCAUUCUCUUUUGUUCUACAUGUACCUAAUUUUUAACUACAUUUCUGUCUCUAUAUUUCUAUAGAGCUUCUCUAUUUUGGUGGGAGUCAAUUGUCAUAAAGGUGUGAUACUUCUAAAUUUAUUUUAUUUUCAUGAAAAUGAUUUGUGUAGACAAAACGUUGAUUUUAAAGCAUUUUCGACCUUGUAUUUUCAUACAUAUUGGCAGUGUCAUGGGGAAGGGGGUGGUAAUCGGUGGUUAUAAGUUAUAGCGAUUGGUCGAAAUGUACAUGUUUAAUAGCAGUUCUAUUCUCAAAAUAAUAUUUUUUAUUAAAUGUUGUUUAAAAAAUAUAUGAAAUCACUGAUUUUUUUUGUGCGUGUGCAAACAAAUUUCGAUUGUUUUUCCACCAUCAUAUUAAAUGUUUCUUGUAGAUAUUGGUUUUCAUCGUGAAUUAUUCUGCAAAAAUCGUUUUAUUGAUAAAAUUUAGGUAUUGUGUGGGAAAUUUGAAAGUUAGUGAAUUAUGUUUUUUGAUGAUGUUGAAAUUAAAUCAUUUUAUUGAUAUAAUUCAUGGAUUGUUUUGUAAAUUUGAAGGCAGCAAUUCAUGUUUUUUGUGAUGGUAGAUGAGAUCGUGUAGAGCAGGUAGGUGUUUCAUAAAGCUGUUUGUAAGUUACAAGCGACUUUACAAACGACUGGUGAUCCUUUCUUGUAGUUGGUAAUACAAGCUGGAUUUUCCAUUGGCCUUGAUCUAGUUCCUAAGAAAGGGUCACCAGUCAAUACAGUACAUAAUAUACACAAGAGAAGUAACAUUGUUCUUUUAUGAUCAGUAAAUGAAAUGUGCAAUAAAAGCCAUGAAUGUUAAUCCCCUCCUUUUUUUCAGAACAGUGAUAAGUAUCAAGAUGUUUUUUUUUGGGGGGGUGAAAAUCUUGAAAAAUCUUUUUAGCGAAAUAGAAGUCCACUCUAGGCUAGGAUUCAAAAUGAUUCAAUCGCUGUACAGCACAAAUAUGUAUACUUCAUGAUGAUUGUGUGAUUUUAUUAUUUUUUUUCAUUAAAUUGAUAGUGAAGCAAAAGUAAAAAUUUGUAGCUUCAGUAUUUGGAUGGAAUACAAGUGGAUCAUGUGUGCAUUUUAAUACAGGUUGAUCAAUAGUGUGUGGAGGAUCUGCAUGCGAAUGAAAUACAGAUUCAAACAUUGUAUAUUUUGUAAUUAUUGUUUUAUUAUAUUAACAUAAAAAAAUUGACCUGGUUUCAUUGAGGUAUAAUUAUGAAAUACAUGUAUAGUAUUAUUAAUAGUAUGUAUUGAUCCAUUAUCAUGUAAAAAUAUCAGCUUAUUCUUGAACACAUGAGAGGAGCCAUUUUUUAAAGGAGAAUGAAACCCUUGAAACCAGCUGAAUCCAUAUCAAAGAAACAUAUUGUUGAAAGUUUGAGGAAGAUUGAAUGAAUAAUAAGAAAGUUAUAAGCAUUUGAAUAUUGAGAUCACUAAUGCCAUGUAGAUCCUCCCAAUUGGCAAUGCGACCAAGAUCUGUGCUGUCACACACGUACAACUCCCUCAUUACUUUAGUACUUAUUUCACUUAUAUUCUCACUUUUAUAGAAUCUAUCACAAGGUGAGGUGUUCUCUUUAUGAGAGGACAAGUACAUGUACAGAGGUUUCACAACAUUAUAUCAUUGAUGAAUUGUUUGUCAUAUGAUUAGAAUGAGCAAAAAGAGAUGUUUUGGGGUAUAUUUUCAGUGUCCAAAAGGGGAGAGUUGUUCAUCUGUGACAUCAUAGAUCUUGGUCGCAUUGCCAAUGGGAGGAUCUCCAUAGCAUUAGUGAUCUCGACAUUCAAAUGCUCAUAACUCUUCUAUUGCUAGUCCUAUUUUACUCAAACUUUUGUUGAUCUUAUUCUUUGAUUUUUCUGCUUUCACAAAAGCUAACUUGCUCCAAGAGUUUCAUUCUCCUUUAAGUACUAAAGUGGCUAUGAAUAAUGGUCGGUAUCAAUGGUUCAAAGAAGAGAGUCAGAUUCAAGGAAAAUAUAAAACAAAUAAUUUGUGCUUUUCCAUGCCCCAUCAUGCAUCAUCAGAAUCAAUAGUGCAAACAUGUACAUGUAGUAAGAUUCAAAGAAGAUGUAAAACAAAUGUGCUUUUCACAAUAUAAGCGACACCAACGCAAAGUUCAGUAUCACGAGAGGCUUGUUUUCCCUGUUGCUAGAAACUUGCAAUUGAUUGCAAGUCAAUUUUUGGUCCACUAUUCAAUCAUAAGUCUUGUAAUUAAUUGCAAUUUCUUAAUUGAUCGCUAGUCUGCUUCUUAUAUCAACAAAUAUUAACUUUAGUUGAUAUUGUUCCUAUCAAUUGUAAUGGAAUUUGCCAUUGAUUGAAUGCAAAUAUAUUUUCUUGAAACACACCAUUAAUUGCAUGGGCAGGGAGUAAGAAUCAAACAAUUUCAAAAUAUUUUAAUGAUUGAUAAAUCCCAAACAAACACAGGGAAAAAUGAGGAUAAAACAACUGGUAUAUAAACUACUAAUGAGAUCCCUGGAAAAGUAGUGUUUAAAAUGUAAAUGAGGCUUGUAAUUAUCAAUCACUUUGAGAGAGAAACACUGAUUAACAUGUUGAGUAAACCGGUCAACCACUCUCUGAUUUUUACCUAGUACAUGUAUUAGUGAUGUCACCAUUAGAGCGCAACUUCAGCGCAUGUUACAGUGUAUUAUGAAACACACAAGUGGCCGUCCCCGAGAAUUAAUUUAUCAUGCAAUAAAUUCAUAUAAGGGAUCCUCUUUUUUUUUUAACUGAAUUUUCACUAAUGCCUUUGUCUAUUCUGCAGUUUGCUUAUGUUUAACAUCAUUAAUUCAUUAAUUUUUAUGGAUAGGGUAGGGAUAAUGGUCUAUUUAUCAAAUAAUAUUGACUCUUUUUCAAUUCUUUACAAAUUGACUUGGAACGUGUAUCACAUAUGUAUGUUAUUUUAUUAAAUGCAAUGAUUCGGAUGACUUGGAA